AUUCCUGAUGUUUAGUUGGCAUCUCCUUUCCUGUAACUUGAAUCCAUGGGUUUGAGUCCUAUCCUCCAGACCAAGAGAAAACAAGCUUCCUUCAUCUUCCAUGUGACAGCCCUUCAUAUAUUUGAAGAUGGCUAUCAUAUUUCCUCUUCAUCUCCUCUCUUCCAGGCUAAACAUACCCAGUUCCCUCAA